AUUGUACCCACUUCCUGGCUAUCACGCUUUUCAGAACCAGUCCCUUAACCUUUAGAGCAGUUCUUCCAGGUGAUUAUUCUUGACUGCUCUGUGAACUGAAGACAAGGACGAGAUUCAGAGAAACAGAGAGGUUGCAUCCAUUUCUCAGGGCCCAGACGGUGACACUAAGGAUGAAGACCUAGCUCUGUUAUCCUUCAGGCUUUAUACCCUUCCUGUACUGGUUCCAAUCCAUAGCAAGAAACCACCCUUGAACAGCUGAGCCGUGAGAAGCCAGAAAGCCUGAUGUGGUCCACCCCUUUCCCUGGAAUCACUCCUUUCCAUGUGGGCUGAAUGCCCACGUGCAGCUGUCUGAUCUCAGGAUUUCUAUCAUCCAGAGUUUCAAAAUGAAAGCCAGGGACGGGGAGGCUACCAUUCAAGCCAUAACGGAAACCACUGUUGUGUGUGCUCAGUUCAAAUCGUUUCCGCAGAUUCUCUGGAAGCUCCAGCGGGGUUGGCCCAGCUCCUGGCUUCCUCUCCUGGCAACAGCCUCAGGUCUUUUUGAUGAAUUGAAUGAGAAGUGGAGCCCUCAGGUCCAGUCCUGAUCCUGCAGUGCUCAUGAAGCUUACACAGAACUCAUGUGACCACGAAGCCAAGGUGGCCGAGAGAAGGCAGCUUCCUGGAAUCUCAGCCUUCCACCAGGCCAGGAGCCAGUCUGCUGCUUCUGUCUGCCUGUACCAAGCAUCUCCCUCAGAGGGAGGAGCCAUGGCCCCAGAAGAUGCUAAGCACUAAAGGAGGCCAUAUGCUUCUACCUUACCAGG
rnacentral:lncRNA from 1 species